UACGGAGGGUGCAAGCGUAAUUCGGAAUUACUGGGCGUAAAGCGCGCGUAGGUGGUUUGUUUAGUUGGAUGUGAAAUCCCCGGGCUCAACCUGGGAACUGCAUCCAAAACUGGUAAGCUAGAGUAUGGUAGAGGGUAGUGGAAUUUACUGUGUAGCGGUGAAAUGCGUAGAUAUUGGAAGGAACACCAGUGGCGAAGGCGACCACCUGGACUGAUACUGACACUGAGGUGCGAAAGCGUGGGGAGCAAACAGG
rnacentral:misc_RNA from 1 species